ensembl:lncRNA
CUCGAGCCUUAAACCGCUUGGAAACGCGCGCCGGGAACGGCUCGGUUGGGACGGAGAAAUGCGAACGCUGGAAUCCGCCUCGGGAUUUGUUAGGAAGGAGCUCGGGCAGUGCCACGUCUUUUUCCUAAAAGUAUGGAACGGUGCGGCUGCUGUUGGCCUUGGAACUGCGCGUAUCCCGCACUGAAUGCAACCCUCCUGGAUCUCCAUGAAGCCCUACAACACUCCUUGCUUCGCACUCUCCCCCACCUCCGUGGAGCUCUGCCUGGCGGUUGCUGCCUGCAGAAAGCCCAGAGCCCAACAUCUGAAGGAUGUUUUAAAGCGUGGGGGGUUGCAUCAUGGCCAGAGCACGGCUAUUUGCAGCGUCACAAGAGCAGCUCCCAGGCUGCACCACGUCAGGUUUCUGCAUGCAGGAGGACAAACGCACAGCACUGUGAUGUACACCCAUCUGCCUUCCUGUACGAGCAAAUGGGUGCACGCACAGGGGUGGAAAUGGCAAGUACUACACUGAAGAAAGGCCUAUGCUUGGGCACAGAUUUGGGGCCCUGAAACAUUUUCCCAUCACCUGAAUGAACGCAAACUUGGACAGUGGCAAAAUCUGACUACAGGCCAGACCUAAAUAGGGCAUUUAGAUGUGCUGACCCUGAGCACAGCUCUAAGUCUCACAUGCCUGAGAGGAACAUGGGAACUGCCAAUGGAUGUCCAAGGCUCAUCUGGCCCAUAGGGACCAGGUAGGUGCAGCAGGUCAGGCUGCAGUGUCACUGGCACCUCUUGUCAGCACUCUUGUCCAUUGAGUCUUGGAGUUUUUCAUCUGAAGUUUUACAAAGGAUUUUUAUUUUUUAAGAAAACAAAAGGAACAUGAACAACAUCUCAUGUUAUCUCUGUUUGAAUCCCACAGGGCAGCAAAAGAUCUGGGCAUGGAUGACUUCCAGUGUCUUCUAAAGCACUACCCGGUGAGCCGGCAUAGCAGAGAGCAGCGUGGCUUACCUCUGUAAAUGGAGAAGUCUGAGUGUCUGCUCUCUGGAGAGGCCUUCUGACUACACCUCCAGGAUAGGAAGAUGCCAAGUACUGCUUAUGGUGUUCUACUUCAGCUACUGCUUGCCACCAAAAGAUCCUGUGUGUCUUCUUCUGAAAAGUAUCGUUUCAGUCCUUAGCAGAAGCAGGGCAUUAAAAUAGAAGAAUAGCUAACAUGCAAUAUUGCUGUUAAAAUUAUUAAAAAUGGAGAAUAAAAUUUGCAUUACAAAAUGUUUAUUUUCUGCAGCUGCAGACAUCCAGCCACGAGAAGUAUUAUUUCUGAAGGAUUCAAGAUGUUGGAAGAAACAGUUACAGACAGCCUUCCUCCAGCAGCUUCAAAACUUCUGUUCUAUUCAUUCUCC